AUUUGGAAAAAAAUUUACUACCAGUGUCAUAUGACAUAUUAUUUGGAGUUAGAUAACUGAUGUGAUUUUAUUAGGUAAUUUUAAAAUAAAAUAGAAUCUGAUAUAAGUUUAAAAUAGUCUUGUUGGGUAUAAAAUAACUCCAGCCGAAGUUUGUAAGAGGCCAACCCUCUCAGGACUCUUCCAGCUUUCAACCUUGUACGGUAUCUUUCGGAACUUCUCCGGUCGUCCGAGCUUCCACAGUACCAUUCGGACUCCUCCAGCAGUCGAUCUUCCACGGUGUCCUCCGGACUCCUCCAACGGACGAACUCCUAUCGUACCCUCCGGAC
rnacentral:lncRNA from 1 species